CAACAACAGGAACCCAAUCACUGCCGCCUUCCCGUUUAUUAUUUCGUUCCUCCCCGUGAAGCCGAACGCCACUUCCAUACCCUCAUCCACCACCAUUUUCACCUGACAUCGCAUACCAUACGCGAACACGUUAACUUCGGACUAGACUACUGUGAUUUGUCUGUAAGAAGGAAUGGCUCGUUGCACUUGCACCGCAAGUUAUUAAUAAGAAGAAAAAGAAAAGUACCUCAUCCACAUUGACAUCUGUGGCUGUAAAACCAGGUUGAGCCUUGCCACUGAAGACAAUCUCGGCGGCAGCGGCAGCAUCAUCGGAAGCAGGGCCGAGGCUGAUGUAAAUGUUCUCUUCAUCAGUUUUGACGGGGUAAACGAAAAGCGUCCGCAAAGCAGGUGUAAGAACUCUCAGCACGGGGUUUUUCGGAUACCACUCCUUGAUGCCUCCGGUGCGCAGAUCAAAUGUGCUAUCAGUUGAUGGGCAAACUAUACACCCAUCCUGCACCCACAACAGUUAACUCUUGAUUCGUUAUUCAAUCAACUACAAAAAUGUGCCAAGCGUAUAAUUGCUACCUACCUGGGUGAGCUUGGCAUUGAGAAGGCCUUCGCUGUAAGCCCCUUCGGCAGGGGACCGAUUCUCUAUUGCAUACACCUGAUCCUUGUACCACAGCAACAGUAUGGCCUCCCCAUCCUGAAUUAUCACCCGCCGCUCCCCCCUUGGCAGCGCCGCCAGCGGCACCACCGGCACCCAGUUGUCUCCUCCUCCCCCUGACGCCGACCCUUCCUCCACGGACACCUCCAUCGCCUUGCACCUCGUCGUCAGGACUACCCGAGAGGUAGGAUGGUAAUUCCCCACAGUAACAGAUGAUGAUACGGGAAUUGGAUUAGCAGCAGCAUGAGCAUGGUAAAAGCUGUGCGGCGGUUUCUGGGAAGUGAGGAGGG
rnacentral:lncRNA from 1 species